AAAUCCCCGCCCCUUCCCUCUCGCUCCAAACCGCCACGGGCGGCACGGCACCCACCCUCCCGACGCCCCUCCCCGCGCGCCCCACCCUCCCACUGCCCACCCGCAGCAGCCGCAGGAAGAGGAGUCGCCAAUCAGCCGCAGCAGCAGGAGACCGCCGCCGUCGGCAGGGUUCGUCGUUGUCAAGGGACGCGGCACGCGCGGCGGCGGGGGAGCAGCAUGUGGAGGGGAAGAAGUUCGCGACGCGGUUCGACGGCCUCCGAUUCCUUUUAGCCUCUGCUCCUAAGGCCCUCAAAAUGACUCCCGUCGGCGCUGCGUCCAGCAUGAAUUGAGUUGUGGCCUUGCGGGACGCCGGCGGCUGCUGGAACUGACAACUAGAUAUCUGAUUGCCAAGGAUUAUGUCAAAUUGAAUAUACGAUGAGGAACAAGGAACCGAACAAAAUAGAAAUCAAUUGCAAUUGAUCUAUUCUACCACUACCGUUUUUGUCGAUCUAGCUGCCGGCGUCCUAUCGGUAUCCCGGCCGGAAGCAGCCCUGACCUCAGUGUGACCAAAGCUCAACUUCUGUCUCGUGCAUGAUCACAAAGUAUCCGUGAAGAGUUCACAGUGCUCUUCCUGUCGUUGUGAAGCAGCACUUCCAGUAAUGGUAGUGCUCAGCGCCUCUGAUUUUUGCUUCAAAAAUUGUAACUUGCACAAGGCAUCCCGAGUCCUGAUGAUCCCAGUUUUGUAUCAACUGCUGCAAGAUGAAGCAAGAACUUAUAAAACUGGAUAUAUUUGAGACUUUGGACAUCUUCACUCUGGAAACUUGAUUUGCUAGCUAAGGCCAUUUGUUCUUUUAUUAGGAAUAUUCGCCAACCGUGCUAAGUAUUUCAGAAUUCAGAUAUGGUUCUCUAGCUCCAGUAGCCAGGUACCUUUCACCGACAACUAUUACACAUAUUGCAAAUUGAGAAGUUUGUCAUGCCAUGUCCGCUGCAACGCACGGGGUAUCAUCUAGUUUAGUUAAUACGCUUUCACAUUACAGUGAUUUGGCUACAUAGAGUUGCAAGCUGCAAUGUUCUGAUAUUUGUUAUGUUUUAAAGCAAUAUCUGCCUUAUAUAUAAUGAUAUAAUUAGGCUUUGAAUUUCUUGCUUAUGUUGUUCUUUAAAUAUCCCAAGUAACCUUUUCAGUUCUUUUUGUCAGGUUAAUUGAUAGAUCGAGUUGCACUUGCACAUAUCUUGUUUUAGGAAAUGCUCCAAUGGCCCUUGAAUCCAGCAAAGAUGGGUGGACACCGUUGCAUUUAGCUAUACAGAGUAGAAAUAGAGAUAUAACAAUGAUAUUGCUUGUCAAUGGUGCAGAUGAGACAAGAAGAAACAAGGUUACUUUUUUGGGGGUGAUGUUUCGAUUUACAAAUCAAAACAAGAUUGUUGCCUGAUAGAAAACUUAAGUGCUGCUAAGCUCACUUCGAAGAUCAUGGUCACGCGGCAUCUGGUGAAAUUUUGGUUGCUGCGAUUGUAUUUGGAAUGUAGCUGGAUUUGGCUGUUAACUGGGUUGUAAAUUUUGUGUUGUAUUGGAUGUUUGUCGGGUUGUGUUGGAUGCUAAUUAGGCUGUAACCUUUGUGCUAUAUGGGUUGUUAUUGUGUUUGAUUGUUGGGCCUAUAUGGGCUUAGCCCACUUGUUUAUCGAUGCAAUACAGAUGCCCGCCUUUAGCAA